UUCAUACUUAUCUCCCUGAGCAGAGUCAUUCCAUUACUUUAUCUCCCUGAGCAGAGUUAUUACUUUAUCUCCCUGAGCAGGAGUCAUUCAUUACUGUAAUACGUUUAAUCUCCCUGAGCAGGAGUCUUCAUUACUUUAUCUCCCUAAGCAGGAGUCAUUCAUUACUUAUUUUCCCUGAGCAGGAGUCAUUCCAUUACUUUAUCUCCCUAAGCAGGAGUCAUUCAUUACUUUAUCUCCCUGAGCACGAGUCAUUCCAUUACUUUACUCCCUGAGCAGGAGCAUUCUUACUUUAUCUCCCUGAGCAGGAGUCAUUCCAUUACUUAUCUCCCUGAGCAGGAGUCAUUCAUUACUUUAUCUCCCUGAGCAGGAGUCAUUCAUUACUUUAUCUCCCUGAGCAGGAGUCAUUCAUUACUUUAUCUCCCUGAGCAGGAGUCAUUCCUUUACUUUAUCCCCUGAGCAGGAGUAUGCCAUUACUUUAUCUCCCUGAGCACGAGUCAUUCCAUUACUUUUAUCUCCCUGAGCAGGAGUCAUUCAUUACACUUAUCUCCCUGAGCAGGAGUCAUUCCAUUACUUUAUCUCCCUAAGCAGGAGUCCCAUUACUUUAUCUCCCUGAGCAGGAGUAUUCCAUUACUUAUCUCCCUGAGCUGGAGUCAUUCAAUCCACUACACACAUUCCAACAUUUUCCCUUUGUCUUCCACAGGUGUUCCAUUUGAGGUGGAAAGACAGUGAACUGGGGCAGUGAUACAUUUGGAUUCAACCUCCAGAACAGCUGAAUAACCUCCGUACAUCUUGAAUGCUGCUUCACAUCUCCCAAAACCCUUCACCCCUCAGGGUGUUCUGUUCACCCCUCAGGGUGUUCUGUUCAGCCAUUCACACCCUCAGGGUGUUCUGUUCAGCCCUCAGAUUGUUCUGUUCAGCCUUCACCCCUAAGGGUGUUCUGUUCACCCCUCAGGGUGUUCUGUUCAGCCGCUCACCCCUCAGGGUGUGUCUGUUUCACCGUUCACCCCCUCAGGGUGUUUCUGUUCAGGCCGUUCACCCCCUCAGGGUGUUCUGUUCAGCCGCUCACCCCUCAGGGUGUUCUGUUCAGCCGUUCACCCCUCAGGGUGUUCUGUUCAGCCGUUCACCCCUCAGGGUGUUCUGUUCAGCCGUUCACCCCCUCAGGGGUUCUGUUCAGGCCGUUCACCCCUCAGGGUGUUCUGUUCAGCCGUUCACCCCGGGUGUUCUGUUCAGCCGUUCACCCCUCAGGGUGUUCUGUUCAGACCGUUCACACCC
rnacentral:lncRNA from 1 species